AUGGCCGGCGAGAGCAGCAUCAGGCGGCCCCUCUUCGGCGGCGCCAUCUCCACCGCCUUCCCCGCCCGGUUCCAGGAUGUGAGCAACAUUCGCGAGGUCCCCGACCACCAGGAAGUUCUCGUUGAUCCCGCUCGUGACGAGAGCCUCAUCUUCGAGCUGCUUGACCUCAAGGGCGAGGUGGAGGACGGCGGCAGCGCGCUCUGGUUCCUGCGCGACGUCGCCAACGAGCAAGAUGCGGCGGAUAACUUGGUGGUCGAGCACUCUGGGACAAUUGAACUAGCUGGUCUGCGCUCCGGGGAAGCACCUGCAGUGGCUGGAACUGCAAUUGGCAAGCUGGCUGUUUCAAAAGGGAGGCAAGGCAGAGAAGCACAGAACAUUGUUCGACUUUAUUUGGCAAACAUACGUCUCAAGAAUGCAGCAACUGAUGUAGUUAUCACCGCAUAUGAGCCACUGUUGAUAAAUCCUUUGAGUGAAAGUGCCCAGGCAGUUGCAGCUGGACCAGCAGUACCCGCAGAACAAGCAGGAUGCUUGCCAAUGUCGGAGGUGUUCAGACUUGCAGUGAUGAACUUUGAUGUCCAUGAUUGGAACCUUUUCAAUGGCAGCGGUUGA
rnacentral:rRNA from 1 species